AUCUAGGUAGCUUAACUAAAGCAUCGGUCUUGUAAGCCGAAGACUGGGGUAUAGCCGCCCCCCUAAAUA
rnacentral:tRNA from 1 species